rnacentral:rRNA from 1 species
AGUGAACGCUGGCGGUAGGCCUAACACAUGCAAGUCGAACGGCAGCACAGUAAGAGCUUGCUCUUACGGGUGGCGAGUGGCGGACGGGUGAGGAAUACAUCGGAAUCUACUUUUUCGUGGGGGAUAACGUAGGGAAACUUACGCUAAUACCGCAUACGACCUACGGGUGAAAGCAGGGGAUCUUCGGACCUUGCGCGAUUGAAUGAGCCGAUGUCGGAUUAGCUAGUUGGCGGGGUAAAGGCCCACCAAGGCGACGAUCCGUAGCUGGUCUGAGAGGAUGAUCAGCCACACUGGAACUGCGACACGGUCCAGACUCCUACGGGAGGCAGCAGUGGGGAAUAUUGGACAAUGGGCGCAAGCCUGAUCCAGCCAUACCGCGUGGGUGAAGAAGGCCUUCGGGUUGUAAAGCCCUUUUGUUGGGAAAGAAAAGCAGCAGGUUAAUACCCCACUGUUCUGACGGUACCCAAAGAAUAAGCACCGGCUAACUUCGUG